AUGCCGGGCCUUCUUAGGUCUGGCAAUUGGAAUGAGAACAAUUUAAACCCCUUAUCGAGGAUCAAUUGGAGGGCAAGUCUGGUGCCAGCAGCCGCGGUAAUUCCAGCUCCAAUAGCGUAUAUUAAAGUUGUUGCAGUUAAAAAGCUCGUAGUUGGAUUUGUGGGUGGAGCUAGUGUCCCGACGCUUAGCGUGGGUGAUGUUGGUCUCCGUCCAUCUUUGGGUGGAAUCCGUGUGGCAUUAAGUUGUCGUGCGGGGGAUGCCCAUCUUUUACUGUGAAAAAAUUAGAGUGUUCAAAGCAGGCUUACGCCGUUGAAUAGAUUAGCAUGGAAUAAUGAGAUAGGACCUGGGUACUAUUUUGUUGGUUUGCGCACCGAGGUAAUGAUUAAUAGGGACAGUUGGGGGUAUUCGUAUUCCAUUGUCAGAGGUGAAAUUCUUGGAUUUUUGGAAGACGAACGACUGCGAAAGCACUUACCAAGGAUGUUUUCAUUAAUCAAGAACGAAAGUUAGGGGAUCGAAGAUGAUUAGAUACCAUCGUAGUCUUAACCAUAAACUAUGCCGACAAGGGAUUGGUGGUCGUUGUUUUGACCCCAUCAGCACCUUAUGAGAAAUCACAAGUUUUUGGGUUCCGGGGGGAGUAUGGUCGCAAGGCUGAAACUUAAAGAAAUUGACGGAACGGCACCACCAGGAGUGGAACCUGCGGCUUAAUUUGACCCAACACGGGAAAACUUACCAGGUCCAGACAUAGUGAGGAUUGACAGAUUGAGAGCUCUUUCUUGAUUCUAUGGGUGGUGGUGCAUCGCCGUUCUUAGUUGGUGGAGUGAUUUGUCUGGUUAAUUCCGUUAACGAACGAGACCCCUGCCUGCUAAAUAGUUGAGCGAAUGAAUGUUCAUUGGCUGCAGCUUCUUAGAGGGACGUGCGUUCUAUUAGACGCAGGAAGAUAGGGGCAAUAACAGGUCUGUGAUGCCCUUAGAUGUCCUGGGCCGCACGCGCGUUACACUGAUGCACUCAACGAGUCUACCUUGGCCGAGAGGCCUGGGAAAUCUUGUUAACUUGCAUCGUGAUAGGGAUAGAUUAUUGCAAUUAUUAAUCUUGAACGAGGAAUUCCUAGUAAACGCAGAUCAUCAAUCUGCAUUGAUUACGUCCCUGCCCUUUGUACACACCGCCCGUCGCACCUACCGAUUGAAUGGUCCGGUGAAGCCUCGGGAUUGCGAUGAGUUUCCUUCAUUGGGAGUUUGUCGCGAGAACCUGUCUAAACCUUAUCAUUUAGAGGAAGGUGAAGUC
rnacentral:rRNA from 1 species